rnacentral:rRNA from 1 species
CAGCAGCCGCGGGAAUACGGGGGGGGCAAGUGUUAUUCGGAAUGACUGGGCGUAAAGGGCACGUAGGCGGUGAAAAGGGUGGAAAGUGAAAGUCGCCAAAACACUGGCGGGGUGCUUUCUUGACCAUUUCACUUGAGUGAGAUAGGGGAGAGUGGAAUUUCGUGUGGAGGGAUCAAAUCCUAAGAUAUACGAAGGAACGCCAACCGCGAAGGCAGCUCUCUGGGUCCCCACUGACGCUGGGGUGCGAAAGCAUGGGGAGCAAACAGGAUCAGAUACCCCUGUAGUCCCUGUCUCUUAUACA